rnacentral:rRNA from 1 species
CCUACGGGAGGCAGCAGUGAGGAAUAUUGGUCAAUGGGCGCGAGCCUGAACCAGCCAAGCAGCGUGAAGGAUGAAUGCCCUACGGGUUGUAAACUUCUUUUAUAAAGGAAUAAAGUUGGGCACGAGUGCCUUUUUGUAUGUACUUUAUGAAGAAGGAUCGGCUAACUCCGUGCCAGCAGCCGCGGUAAUACGGAGGAUCGGAGCGUUAUCCGGAUUUAUUGGGUUUAAAGGGAGGCGAGAGGGGUUGGUAAGUCAGUGGUGAAAGUUUGGGGCUCAACCCCAAACUCGCAAUUGAUACUGGCAGUCUAGAGUUGAGUUGAGGUAGGCGGAAGGCGUGGUGUAGCGGUGAGAUGCUUAGAUAUCACGAAGAACUCCGAUUGCGAAGGCAGCAUAC